UUAUUAAUGAGGGAUAUCUUUAUAAAGUAUAACAUCUAUGAAAAAUAUGAUUAAAAAUACUAAACUGAGCAUAUAAUUACCUUCUUACCUAUUGAGAUUUAUAUAUGUAGCAAUCUUUUCAUCUAGGCAAAAUGAAUUGGAAAGCAGGAAGACUGACAAUUUUCACCUUGAGAUUUUAAAAAAUAGCAUGCA
rnacentral:lncRNA from 1 species